rnacentral:rRNA from 1 species
GAUGAACGCUGGCGGCGUGCCUAAUACAUGCAAGUCGAGCGAACGGACGAGAAGCUUGCUUCUCGGAUGUUAGCGGCGGACGGGAGAGUAACACGUGGAUAACCUACCUAUAAGACGGGGAUAACUUCGGGAAACCGGAGCUAAUAGCGGAGGAUAUUUUGAACCGCAGGGGUCAAAGGUGAAAGACGGUGUUGCUGGCACUUAUAGAUGGAUCUGCGCUGCAUUAGAUAGUUGGUAAGGUAACGGCUUACGAAGGCAAGGAGGCGUAGGCGACCGGAUGGGGUGAUCGGCGACACUGGAGCUGGGACGCCGUCCAUACUCCUGCGGGAGGCAGCAGUAGCGAACCUUCGGCAAUGGGCGAAAGCCUGACGGAGCAACGCCGCGUGUGUGAUGAAGGUCCUCGGAUCGUAAAACUCUGUUAUUAGUGAAGAACAUAUGUGUAAGUAACUGUGCACAUCUUGACGGUACCUAAUCAGAAAGCCCCGGCUAACUACGUG